rnacentral:lncRNA from 1 species
UAAUUCAAUAGUGUGAUCGUUUUUGCUUUUUUAUAUAUAGUUGACUUUUUACUCCUAUUGUGGAGGUGUGCCUAGAUUGGCAGAAGAUAGACAAUACAGAUACAGUCACUCGAAAUAGAUUCCACUAAUAAAAUAAAGUUUACCUAAAAAUCAAAAUAAUUCAUGCAUUCUGUAGAUUUUUUUUAUUCAUUUUCAUAGGGCCUGUGUCGUUAAAUCUUAAAUAAAACAUGAUAAUAUAGGCUAUGCCUGUGUCGUUAUUUACGUGACGAU